CCUACGGGUGGCAGCAGUGAGGAAUAUUGGUCAAUGGGCGGGAGCCUGAACCAGCCAAGUCGCGUGAGGGAAGAAGGUACUGAGUAUUGUAAACCUCUUUUGCCAGGGGACAAAGGCGGCCAUGGGUGGCCGUAAGAGGGUACCUGGAGAAAAAGCAUCGGCUAACUCCGUGCCAGCAGCCGCGGUAAGACGGGGGAUGCGAGCGUUAACCGGAUUUAUUGGGUUUAAAGGGUGCGCAGGGGGCGUGUCAAGUCAGCGGUAAAAUGUCGGGGCUCAACCCCGGGCGGACGUUGAAACUGGCGUGCUCGGGUUAGAGGGAAGUAGGCGGAAUUCGUGGUGUAGCGGUGAAAUGCAU
rnacentral:rRNA from 1 species